UCACCUUACUUGUGAAGAUGCAAUGAGUUAACACACACACAAUGCCUGGCACAUCAUCUAACACAUCACCUAGCACACAAGACAUGCUGAACCAAGGUUUGCCAUCAUUCUUCUCAAAGCCCACACACAGCUAGAGGGUUGAGAGCAAGGCUGCCAACCCUGGUUGUUUAAUUCUGCUCAUAAAGCUUCUGUAUGUUCCAUCUGCAAAAACUAAAUUCAGAGAAAAAUAACUGGAAAUAGAAAAGGGUGGUCAAGGAGAACACCAGAGCCAGAAGGAGGCGAAGACCAGUUCCUUGUGUAUCUGGAACUUGCCCUAUAGGGGUUCUUUGCCUCCUAUACCAGGCCCUGGAGGAAAAUCUGUUUGGUGGAGUCGCUGGAGCUUAAAGAAGGGGAAGUAAACUCAAGCGCACAUCCUGGUAACCUCUAGCCACGGGUCAAAUUUCACUGACGUCACUUAAAAAUGACCAAAGACCCGCCCCUGUGAAAACCCCGUGGGCAGCCAUUUUGUCUCAAGGAAACUGCCCAGAUCUGAGGUAAAGUAGUUCCGGACGUCUCUUGGUUGUAUAUGGCAUUUCUCUGAAAUAAGCAACUCUUUGAAAAAUAUAAUAGCGCAGAACAAAGUGAAGUACUCCAUGGUGAAGUUGAAGUACACAGUCACCAAAGAAACUUGCCCUCAGGCUGCAAAGUAAAAGCUGGAAAUCCCAGAGCAGCAACUUGGAAAUCCCACCUGCUACAUAUUUGCCUGAGUACUUUAAGGUUCUAUGGAAAAUUGUCUCUCUGUGUAGAUUAACCUUAAACUUGUUCCAUUUUGA